rnacentral:misc_RNA from 1 species
CGAAGAGCCGUCCCCUCCCCCUUUCCCUUCCCCUCCCCCCCACACAGAUAUAUACAUACACACACUGCUUCCAUUGCGCUCCCUCCCGACCAUCUUCUGGAUGAUGUCUACAGCAGCCAAGAAAGGGCCCCGUACCGGGACCAACAAAUCGGCCAAAGGUAGCAUCGUCUGCGCCGCACCGGGCACAGAUGCGAAGCACACCGCGGCAUCAUCGCCAUUCACGCCCGCGACGCUUCUGGAGGUUCCGCCGGAGUACAAGCAACAGCUGCGCCAGGCAUUCGAUAAGUUUGACGACUCCGGCAAAGGCUUUAUUCCUGCACACGAGGUGGUGGUUGCUCUCUACGCGCUUGGAUACGACGUAGGCAGCGCGGAGCUGCAGCAGCUGCUUCAAGAGGUUGGGGCUGCCGGCGCUGAGUCGAUCGACUUCAAUGACUUCUACAACGUUCUAGUGCUGAAGAUGAGCAAGAAGGAGAGCAAGACGGAGUCGGUGCGCGCCUUUAAACAGAUGGACCGAGAUGACAAGGGGUACAUCGGCCUCGAAGACCUGCGCUCUAUGUCCGACUCACUGCACAUGAACUUGACAGACGACGAGCUGUCCGAGAUGAUCCAGUUCGCGCGGUCCGUUGGAUACCACACCCCCGCGCAAGGACAGUCGGAGUUCGACGCGAGGGACAUGCUGGCGGUCUCGGAGACCGAGUACUUGCGUUUGAUGAAGCGAGCCAACGUUUACUGAAUGGGCGGACGAGGGAUAGUGAUGAGGGCCAAGCCUCUCGACGGACUUAUGCUGUCGCUGACAUUGCGGUGGUGCCGCUAACAGCCUGCAUGCAACUUCGAUGUCUGCUGUUGCUGCCGUUGUUGUGCAGUGCGAGAGCGCAAGAAAAUAAUAAGUUCAGAGAGAGGAGCGGGGCAACGAUGAGCGGGCUGAUCUUCAGCGCUCCUCGCGACGCACGACAGCAUCAGAACUGAAUGCGAAGCUGGCGCGCUUUCCGUCAUGUACACUACAGCGCGAACUGCACUUUAAUGUGUGAGCAACAAGGAAAAAAAGCGGAAAUAAUCUCUAUCGCGCGAGGCUGUGACGUGCGGCGCUACCAGCUCUGAGUACAGCGCCACACUUUCCCUCCUCCGCGUGUGCUGUUUUACUCCGAACGAUCCGGAUGCCAGCAACUUGUUGCUGACGCUUGGCUAGAGAGCAGGCGCCGAGCGAUCUCGGCAAGAGUGAGUGAGAGGGAGAGAGCUCACGGGAGGGGGGGGGCAGAAGAAUGCGUUGCCCUUCUCUCUUGCUCCACUCCACUCCGGCCGGCGUGUGUGUGUGUAAAGGGGAAGGUAAGGAUAUUCGUUUGUGCCCCCUACAUCCGUGCCGUCAAACUGAUAGGAGGCUCAUCAACGACAUCCUUGCGGCGCUGUGACGGUGUGCACUUUGCCCUACUCUUUUCACGUAAACCAGAGUCAUCUCCCUCCCCAUAAGCACUUGUCUGCCCUGGUUGCCUUCUCGCUUCUCUCUUCUCCCUCCUCUUGUCUCGUCGUUCGCGUGCCAUCACGGCACUUGUGCUGUCCCCUUUAACGUUAUGCUUGGUCCUGCCCCUCUGGUGCACACUCUUUUUUUCUCUGACGGCUCGUGCCUGCACAUUGAAUGCCGGUGCGAAUCAUUCCGCUCUUUCCUGUCACCUUCUGAAUGAGCGGAACCGCAACAG